GGAUGUUUUUCUGCUUUGCGACAUAACGUAACACCUCUUUAACUGUAGAAAAAUGUCAGAAACAAAAAGUAAUGGUUUGAUUUAAUGUUUUUUUUUUUAUUGAAAUUAGUUGUUGUUAGUUGAAAUCAUGUGCUGAAUCCCGGACAAUCUGCACCCUCCUGCAUUGAGCUCUGUCAUUGGAGAGCAGCAUUAUGCAGCCGCUCAGUGGGCAGGGACACCAGGCUAUGAUGAACCCAUUGACCUUACACAUUCUGGAAAUUCAUUCUCUGAAUUCGACCCAUCCUAAGUAUUAAGAGCAAUCGACAGCCACCGUGCUGUGGCCUGGGGAACAACUCCAGAUCUGAGCCAGCGCCUUGGUUAAGUGCAACCCAGGACCUACUUGCUGUCAGGCUUCAAUCAACAAAUUAUGGGUUUUACCUCUAAAUAAAGUACUUAAGAGAUG